rnacentral:rRNA from 1 species
AAUUAUAUUAACAAAAUUAUUCGCCAGAGUACUACCGGCAACAGCCUAAAACUCAAAGGACUUGGCGGUGCUUUAUAUCCCUCUAGAGGAGCCUGUUCUAUAAUCGAUAAACCCCGAUAGACCUCACCAAUUCUUGCUAAUGCAGUCUAUAUACCGCCAUCUUCAGCGAACCCUAAAAAGGUACAAAAGUAAGCGCAAUCACAACGCAUAAAAACGUUAGGUCAAGGUGUAACCUAUGAAAUGGGAAGAAAUGGGCUACAUUUUCUACACCAAGAACACCCAACACGAAAGUUAUUAUGAAAAUUAAUAACCAAAGGAGGAUUUAGCAGUAAACUAAGAAUAGAGUGCUUAGUUGAACUAGGCCAUGAAGCACGCACACACCGCCCGC